rnacentral:tRNA from 1 species
CUAGAUAGACGGGCCUCGAUCCCGCAAAAAGCUAAUUAACAAUCAACUGCCAAAACCAACAGGCUUCUACCUA